GGGUCACGUGACGUGCCUUUCUCUUUUUUUCCUGUGGAAAAUCUCGUAAAAAGCCAGUGAACGCAGCGUCAUACGGGCACCCCCACCCCACUCCCCCGGAAACCCCCGGAUGAACCCGCAGGAAGGCGCGCGGCUGAAGAACUCUUGGACAGCUGGAAGGCAGCAGGAUCACGGUGAAGGCCUCUUCUGUAUAGAGGACGUGGGCGGAAACGUCACGUGGUCUCCGCAGAGAAUCCUGGAGAUGGGAGAUGUGGAGUAGGUAAGUUUGUGGCAGCACCAGAGUCCUCCAAAAAGUCUUCUGGCAAAGUAAAUGAGGAAGGAUCGCAGUCUGCCAUCGUGGAGUUUUGCUGAAAGGCCUGAACACGUUCCAUCCAUGCAUCCAUCUUCUUCCAUUCAUCAGGAACCAGGUUGUGAGGGCAGCAGUCUAAGCAAAGAUGCCCACACUUCGCUCUCCUCCAGCUCCUCUUGGGGGACCCCGGGGCCAGCUGAGAGACGUAGUCUCCCCAGCGUGUCCUGGGUCUCCCUUAGGGCCUCUGCCCUUAUUCCUGUUGGAGUUUUUUUCUAACCCCUUAUGUUUCAAAAGUUUGCAAACAUACAUUUUGGUUGAAAUGAUGAGGAUCCGAGGAUGAAAUCAAGAAGGGACAACAUCAGGGAAAGGGACUGAACCGACUGAACAGCUUCCUCUCUUCAGCAGACACAUGUUCAGAGUACAUAUGUGUCAAAAACUGACAUCCUCACCAUUCAGGCCGGUGGCUGGAACAAGCGGAAGUCAGAAAAGCUGGAGCAGACGUGACCAGAAUGAUACCUCCAGGACCAAUCAAAAUGACCCAGAGAAAAACACUGAAGGGCUUUGUCUGAGCAUCAGGAAAACAAGAAUCAGCUGUCAUCAACAUAUGGUGGAUAAAGGUGGAAAGAUUUCAUGUAAUCAAUGGACACCAGUGAAGAUCACAAAUCAUUGAAGAAAAAAGGUUCAGAGCACUGUCUAGUGGGUCUAGAUGACCCCACUCCCAAUGGUUAUGGUGCCAUGGUAAAGAACUAAAGGCUCUAUGAUGUCAUGCUGCUGACCAGACUGUGGUUGGUGAAGUCCAGCAGCACUGCAGGUCCUUGAAGUGUGGUUGAAGAGCUCUCCUCCCAUCUUUUGGAAGGUUCUGCCCCGCAAAGCAGCACAGAGUCAUUGAUGGAGAGAGAACAUGAGGGACUAAUUGUCUGCUGAGGAGGAGACUUUCUGCAGUUCAAGCCCCAGCUCCACCCCUAAAAAAAGGCUUAUAUAAAGGAAAACCUCAUUUCAACUUUGUACCAAUAAAUGAAUUUUAAUUGAAA